GACGAACGCUGGCGGCGUGCUUAACACAUGCAAGUCGAACGGAAAGGCCCUGCUUUUGUGGUGUGCUCGAGUGGCGAACGGGUGAGUAACACGUGAGUAACCUGCCCUUGACUUUGGGAUAACUUCAGGAAACUGGGGCUACUACCGUAUAGGAGCUCCUGCUGCAUGGUGGGGGUUGGAAAGUUUCGGCGGUUGGGGAUGAACUCGCGGCUUAUCAGCUUGUUGGUGGGGUAGUGGCUUACCAAGGCUUUGACGGGUAGCCGGCCUGAGAGGGUGACCGGCCACAUUGGGACUGAGAUACGGCCCAGACUCCUACGGGAGGCAGCAGUGGGGAAUAUUGCACAAUGGGCGGAAGCCUGAUGCAGCAACGCCGCGUGCGGGAUGACGGCCUUCGGGUUGUAAACCGCUUUCGCCUGUGACGAAGCGUGAGUGACGGUAAUGGGUAAAGAAGCACCGGCUAACUACGUG
rnacentral:rRNA from 1 species